GCUAACACAUGCAAGUCGAGCGGUAACAGGGGGUAGCUUGCUACUUUGCUGACGAGCGGCGGACGGGUGAGUAAUGCUUGGGAACAUGCCUUGAGGUGGGGGACAACAGUUGGAAACGACUGCUAAUACCGCAUAAUGUCUACGGACCAAAGGGGGCUUCGGCUCUCGCCUUUAGAUUGGCCCAAGUGGGAUUAGCUAGUUGGUGAGGUAAUGGCUCACCAAGGCGACGAUCCCUAGCUGGUUUGAGAGGAUGAUCAGCCACACUGGGACUGAGACACGGCCCAGACUCCUACGGGAGGCAGCAGUGGGGAAUAUUGCACAAUGGGCGCAAGCCUGAUGCAGCCAUGCCGCGUGUGUGAAGAAGGCCUUCGGGUUGUAAAGCACUUUCAGUCAGGAGGAAAGGGUAACGGUUAAUACCCAUUAUCUGUGACGUUACUGACAGAAGAAGCACCGGCUAACUCCGUGCCAGCAGCCGCGGUAAUACGGAGGGUGCGAGCGUUAAUCGGAAUUACUGGGCGUAAAGCGUACGCAGGCGGUUUGUUAAGCAGAUGUGAAAGCCCCGGGCUCAACCUGGGAACUGCAUUUCGAACUGGCAAACUAGAGUGUGAUAGAGGGUGGU
rnacentral:rRNA from 1 species